AAUUCGCCAUUUUCUUUUCCAAGAAGUGAAAAGGAUGGAAAUAUUUUAGCAUGAUGAAUAUUGUGUUUUAAGAUCAGGCUGAGAAAAAUUUGAACCAAGGAUUUGACCAAACCUAGCUCAAUGAGAGUUCUGGAGUCAGGGGCGACACCGUCGUACAACAUGGGAAAGAACAAGAAGCACAAACUUCGUAAGACCAAAGACGUGUCUGACUCCUCAGAUGAUGCAUUAGCAGUGCCAAGCUGUAACCAUAUUAAUAUGGCAGUGAAUGUAGCAGCCAUGAGGAAGGGGUUAGGGAAACAAGUGUAUGGAGAGUGUGCUUCUUGUACCAAAACUGCCCUUGAGGGAGACUCGAGCCAGGGGGCAGAGGCUGCUCCUGCACUCCUUGACACAGAGCCAACACUCUGGGUGUGCUUACAGUGUGGAAAUCAAGGCUGUGACCGUAACUCUAGAGAUAAGCAUGCAUUGAAGCAUUACGAGACACCACGCUCCAGUUGUCACUGUUUGGUCAUCAACACUACUUCUUGGACUGUGUGGUGUUACAAGUGUGAUGAUGAGGUCCAGUUAGAACAAAGUAAGAGGCUACAGGAGAGUGUGGACAUCAUUAGGAAACAGGCUGGGCUUCCCCAGGCAGAACCAGUGGAACUAGCACCUCAACAAUCAAACAGGAUGUCAAUGGGGAGGUGCAGGAAACAAGAACCACUCAAACCCACAGUGAAAAUUGGGACCUUCUCAACAAUGGGGACCUCGAAAAUAAAGGGGAUCUUAACAUGAACAAGGCACCAGUGCUGAAUGGUCAUUGUGAAAAUCCAUUGUCUGAGACUGUAUGCUGUCUGACUAAUGGUAGAGAAAAUAGUGAUAUGGAGAAUGGGGAAUGUAUUGAUGAUCGUAAUUCAGUUGGUGCAGAAUGUAACAUUGGAAUUCCAAAAGUUAAGCAUAUAUCAAAUAAUGAUAGUGUGGCCUGUGAUAGGACUUAUUGUGAUAAAGAUGACUCUCUGACUCAGAAUGGAGUUCAUCACAUCAAGAAUGAUAUAAACAGUGAGUUAAAGAAAUCCCAUUCCAGAAAUAGCAGUGCAAGUGAAAUGACAGCAAAGCUAGGGAAUAUGAUUCUAGAGGACACUACCUCAGUCAGUAAUAGGGAUGAUUGCCAUAAGGAGAACGGAGUCCACGAUCCUGUGUGUGGUGGAUCAAAUUGUGAGAAAGGAAGCACCAACACUCCUCCCCAACACCAUUCCAAAUCUGAGAAAGAAAUCAAGAAGGAGGCACUAGUCAGGUCAAAGGUCACACUGGGGGUACGGUACCACCCGACCUCCAGGGAAUGUACCGUCAUGUCGUGCAUACAUCAGUUCACCUCUGCUGAACUCCUGACUGGCAACAACAAGUUUGGAUGUGCCAAGUGCACGCAAAUGAAAUACAAGCAAGGUCUCAGCAAAGAUAAGAAGGAGAAAGUCUAUUCUAGUGCAGCAAAGCAGUAUUUGAUAUAUACUCCUCCAGCAGUGCUUACGUUACACCUUAAGCGAUUUGAACAGGUUGGCUUCAGUUCCCGCAAGGUAAACAGACAUGUGGACUUCCCCUUUGUCCUUGACUUGGCCCCCUUCUGUAGCUCAUUAUGUCAGGGGGUGAGACCAGGCCAGAAAAAAAUUCUGUAUGCUCUCUACGGAGUAGUGGAACAUAGUGGCAGGCUCAACGCCGGUCACUACACCGCGUACGUCAAAGUCCGACCAAACAUCGGAAUCAUCACAGACUUCCUCAACGCUGGACCGCCCACAUUGAAAGACUGCACCAAGCGCUACCUGGAGGUCCAGAACAGCACUGCCAGUCUGGAAGAACAGGAAGAGAGUAUAGUGGAGCGACUGGUACCGCCUGGCAAGUGGUACCAUAUCAGCGAUAGCCGAGUGAGUGAGACCACAGAAUCUACGGUCCAACGAGCACAGGCCUAUCUUCUCUUUUACGAAAGAAUUUAUUAACCAUACUUCAUAUCAGUAACAAAUUUUAUUUUAAAGAUUUUUUUAUUUGAAUUGGAAAGAUGAUUUAUGAAAAAGAUAUCUUUGUUUCUGAGCACUUUUGAAUUUGCUAAUAACAGAGAACCAUUUUGGGAAAAGGUUACUAAAAACAAAUUUAUUAUCGGUAACUUAACUGGAAAGGGAUUUUGAUAUUUUUUAUGUGUAUGUUUUGUUAUGGGUGCUCCUGUGUGCAGGAAUGUAUUGAAUGCAAGAUGAAUUGUAUAUGUUCAUGGAAAUCUGUGAAAAAUGAUUGUUGGUGCAAAAGAUGAAAGAAAUCUUCAAAGUUUCUUAUGAUAUUCUGCUUUACUUAAAGAAAAAAUAACCCAUACAUUUUUAUUAGCAAAUUGCUUAUGUCCCAUGGCCUAGUUAAUCUGCCUUUGUGUUUAAUAUUCAAAUUUAUAAUUAGAUUAUUCACAGUAAAUUCCUCCUAUGCUUAAGAGUAUAUGAAUUCUGUGAUGCAUUGAUUUUUAUGUCCAACUGCAUUUGAAUUGCUUGAUUAAAUGUAAAUCAAUUCAUUGACAAUAAAGGCACAGUACUUUAUGUAAAAGUAUAGGGAUAGUUAUUGUUUAAUACCUGCAUUUAGCUAUGCAUCUCAAUAAUUUGAUACAAAUGCAUUGCUUUAUUUUACUUUUUACAUUUUACCUAGGAGUAGGAAAAUUUACAUGAGAGUUAGACAAAGUGAACAGUCUUUGUGCUGUCAAAAAUUCUUUAUCUUGUAUACCAUUGUAUACUCAGUCUCUGGAUACCAGCAUUUAUUAUAUUUGUUCCGUUUUGGUUACUGGUAAACAUUUUACUGGUGGGAAUAUUAUCUUCUGUUCAAACAGGGGAAACUUUUUCUUUCUAAAUGAGUUUCUAGCUAUGCUAGAGAUUAUGUAUUGGAGGAUGAAUUCAUUCUACAAACAUGUUGAUUUUGUGUUGUUAUUACUGAUCUUGUUUGAUACCUAAAUAAACAGCAAUCUUAAAUCUU
rnacentral:misc_RNA from 1 species